rnacentral:miRNA from 1 species
UUCAAUAUACAGGAUAGCCCCG